GCUGCUAAUGGCCUCUGGCAGAUUCAGCAGAAGGAGGAUCAUCUGCUUCCGGGGUGGGGGGGGGCAGUUGACUGUGCCUUAUUGAAACUGCAGAUAAAGGGAAGCCACUGUACUCAACUUCUAGCCUAUUGUUCUAAACUCAGAAGAAAGAUAAAUAAAAUUGUAAGACCUUUCUUUUGGACUGCUUUUGCUGUUAUUAAAGUUUGUGCACAAAGAUCACAUAGAGCGGGUUGGUGGAUCUUGGUGAGUAAGCAGGAAUGUUUUACCUGGAGCCUCAUAUCUAAGCAGCUAUAUAGCAGGGUUCCUUUGGAGUCAAUCCAGCCCACCACUACCUUCUUUCUCCCACACACCCUCCUGCCCGCCCCCCCAGGCUCCACCCCCAUCCACUCCACACAGUCUUUUGCUGUUGAAGGCCCCCUGCUUUCCCUGGUGUAUUCUCUUGGUCAGGACUUCCAUAAGGCUCCAGACAGUGCUGGAGGUAUUCCUGCUCAACAGGAAAUACUCAGGAAUCCUUGGCCUCCAUAUUCCCAAGACAGCAGCAGCAAGUGCCUGACUCCACUCCUGGUUAGUGAACCUACCCCUCACCAUCUUCAUUUCCCAGGAAGGUUCAGACCCCAUUCCAAACAUGCCCUAACUUCAGCAAACACAUGGAGCUCUCAGAGUCCACUGAAGCUCCUCUCCCUGGCCUUGGGCAGGCAAGGAGCAAGUGUGGAGACAGGGCAUGGUGUGAAUGUCCCUCUUCUCACUAUCCUCUGUUACCCCAUUUUUUGUGUGUUUUUUUAGGUAUUCUACUACAUAUAACAUAAGAUACACCUUUUUUAGGUACACAGUUCAAUUACAUUCAUGUUGUUGUGCAACCAUCACUACCAUCAACCUCCAGAAUUUUUUCAUCUUCCCCAACUGGAACUUAGUUCCCAUGAAACAAAAACAGUAACUCCCUAACCCCCUACACUCAACCCCUGGCGACCACCAUUCUAUUUUCUGUUUCUAUGAAUUUGACUCCUCCAGACAUCUCUUAUAAGUGGUGUCAUACAGUAUUUGCCCUUUGUGCCUGGCUUAUUUCUCUCAGCAUAAUAUCUUCCAGGUUCAUCUGUGUUGUAGCAUGGGUCAGAGUUUCCUUCCUUUUUAAGGCUGAAAAAUAUUUCACUGCACAGUUAGACCACAACUUUUUAUCUGUUCAUAUAUUGAUGGACACUUGGGUUGCUUCCACCUUUUGGCUAUUAUGAAUAAUGUUGCUAUGAACAGAAGUAUACAAGUGUCUCCUCUGAUUCUUUUAUAACCUUGAUCUUUUCUAAAUUUUGCCUAUGUCAGACUCAAUCUCAUAUUUAUUUUGGUAUUUGAUGUCCAUUACAUUAGUGCCUCAAUCGAAAUUUAGACAGGAAGAAACCCAUCUUAACAUUCUGUUAGAAGAACACCCGAAGAUAACCUUAGGCCCUAUCUAAAUUUCUGUAACUUUAAUUAUACCAAGUAGGUCUUGUGUCUCAGGGUUUUCCCCCAGAAACUCCUGCCUUCAUUUUCUAGUGAAGGUUUCAAAUCAGACUGCUUCAAAUAAGGACCUCAACAAUAUAAUCCAAAUGUUAAUAUAGAGUGAACACAUGACUGGGCAAUUUCCCUCCUAAGUAUACACCUGGGAAAAAAAGAAAACACCUCCACAAAAAAACUUGUAGACAAAUAUUCAUAGCAGCUUUAUUCAGAAUAGCUGAAAAUAGGAAACAACGAAAAUGUUUGUCAACUGAUCAACGGUUGGACAAAACGUGCUACAUCCAGGCAAUGAAAUACUACUCAGCAAUAAAGACAAUGAAGUAGUGAUACAAGCUAUGAUAUAGAUGGACAUCAAAAACAUUAUACUAAGAAAAGAAGACUAAUGAAAAAUCCAACAUAUUGUAGAUUUCCAUUUAUAUGAAAUGUCUAGAAAAGCCAAAUCCAUGGAGGCAGAAAGCAAAUUAGUGGUUGCCAGGGCUAGGCAGUGAGAACAGGGGAUGGCCAUAAAUGAGACACAAGCUUCUUUCCAGGGUGAUGAAAACAUUCUAAAAUUAGAUUGUGGUGAUGACUGCACAGUUCUCUAAUUUCACUAAAAAUCAUUUACUUAAAAUGAGUGAAUUCUGUGAUAUAUCAAUUAUAUCUUAAUAAAGCUGUCUUUUAAAAAGAUUCAAAUCUUUUUGAUUUGAAUAAACUAUCUGUUAUAGUGACGUUCUAACAAUUAGGCUACAGGAUUCUUUGCUUUUGCUUAUGUAUUUUUUUAACUUUCUUCAUUGAACAUCUGACUUUCCUAACAACAAAUGUUGUGUGUAUAUUUUAAAUUAAAAGUAUGAGUAGGAGCACCUGGCUGGCUUGGUCAGUAGAGCAUGCAACUCUUAAUUUUGGAGUCAUGAGUUCAAGCCCCUUGUUGAAUGUAGAGAUUACUUUUUAAAAUUGAAAAUAUAAAAUAUUGAACAAAAUUGAAAGCAUGAGUGAAUUUAUUUAUUUACUUUUUGACUUGCUUACUUACUAUAUAGUAGUGGGGGAGGCUUUUCAAAUAAGACAGAAAACUCACGAGACUAAAGGCACUCUGCCAAAUUUGCCACAUAAAAUGUUAAAAUUUCUCUGUCAGAAAAACCAAACCAAAACCAAUAAUCAAACACGAAGUUAAAACAUAGAAGAUAAAUUGGGGAAAACAGUUACAAACACAAUGACAGACAAAAGAUAAUUUCCUUUAUUUAACAAGUGUAGCCAAAUCAGUAAGAAAAAAGUUGAACACAAUGGAAAAAUAAGCGAAGAAUAUGAACAAGUAAUUCACAGAAGAAAUAACUGCCAUUUCUACAUAUAAAAAGAUGUUAAAUCUCAUUCACAUUUCAGUGAGGGUAUCAAUUUGUGCAACCUUUUAAGGUGCAAUUUGAUAUAAUCUACCUACUACUAUUAAAUCUACUUUUAAAUAAUAAAAUAUUAUUUUAUUUUUUACUUUUUUAAAGUGUGGUUCUGUAUAUGUAUGACUUAGUGCUUCUACACCUAGGACUUUUCCCUAUAGAAUAUUCCGGCAAAGAUAUUACCAGACAGAUGUGAGUGUAUGGUCUUUGCAUUGCUGUGCUAGUGAAAUACUAGAAACCUAAAUGUCCAUGAGUAGGAACCAAGCUAAAUAAAUCAUAGUAUCUUACCAAUGGAUCCUACACACCUUUAAAAAGUAUUAGAUCUAGAUGUGCCAAUGUAGAAAUAGCCCUAAGAAAGAUGG
rnacentral:lncRNA from 1 species